rnacentral:rRNA from 1 species
UACGUAGGGUGCAAGCGUUAAUCGGAAUUACUGGGCGUAAAGCUUGCGCAGGCGGCUUUGCAAGACAGAUGUGAAAUCCCCGGGCUUAACCUGGGAACUGCAUUUGUGACUGCAUGGCUGGAGUGCGGCAGAGGGGGAUGGAAUUCCGCGUGUAGCAGUGAAAUGCGUAGAUAUGCGGAGGAACACCGAUGGCGAAGGCAAUCCCCUGGGCCUGCACUGACGCUCAUGCACGAAAGCGUGGGGAGCAAACAGG